GAGAUAGGAUGUACCCGCACAGAGACUCAGAGACAGAGAUUGGUAGAAAAGAAAAGGCUUGGUAAACAUGGGUAAUACUUCAGUAUCUGGAUAAGAAUAUUCAAGGAUCUUGAUCACAAGUUUUGGAAUGAAGCUGGUCUGGUUAUGGAAAUAAAAGAAGAAUAAAGACUUGGCAGACUUUUCAUCCCACCCUUCCACUCCACAGAGCACUUAUAAAAAAAGAAUGAAAAAGGCUGGAGAAUGAAAACAGACAGUCCCAUCUGAGGGAAGUGAGAAGUCAAUUGGGCUGGAACUCAAACCUCACAAUGGGUUGUGAUGGCAAAGCAGACUGGCCGAAUAAGAAGAGCUCCCAAGAGGCAGGAAGGAAAAGAGCAGAGAGAGAAGAAACUGCAGGCCAAAGGAGAGGGGAAGGAUCAAUGAUGGACUGAGAGAAAGAAUCUGAGAGGAGAAAAGAUAGAGGGGAUACUUGUUAUGAUUCUGGGCAAUUUAUGGAAGCAGGACUGACUAUGCAGCAAUUCCCUUCCUGCUAUGCAUAGAGGGUGGGGUUGCAGUUCAGUGGCAGUGCAUCUGCUUUACAUGCAGGUGAUCCUUGCUUUAAUCCCUGGUACUUCCAGGUAGGUACAACUUAGAUAGAUUCUUGCCUGAAAGCCUGUAGAGCUACUUCCAUUCAGUGUAAACAAUAUUUAAAGGAGGCAAACCAUUCAAAAUCCGGGGCUAGGUUCAUUAGUAUUCUCUGGUUCAGUUCUAGCUCAGAUACUAAUUUUAAAAAGAGGGUUGGUAAUCAUUUCAGACAC